AACACCAAAUACAUUAAUUAUGAAAUUACGCAAGUAAAUGGAUGCAGUGAUUAAGUAUACAUUUUUCUUUUAAAAUGUUUAUUUUCUGUAAUUUGGUAUAUGGAUUCAACAUGUUUUUGCAUUUAGAUCCUUGUGUGCUUGGAAGAUUUUUAUAUCAAUUGCCAUUUAACUCAUAGAAAUGCAUAAACAGAGCCGGCCCAUGGUAUAAGGCUACAAGUAGGAUAAGCGGUCGCUUUGAGCCCAACAUUUUAUGGGUCUUCGUUAACUAUCAAAAAGAUCUGAUUUAUUCUUUUCGUUUUAAGUUCAAACUAGCUUUUGAUCCGCGCGGACGGAUGCAUGUCCGAUGUAAUCAAAUGUUUUUUGUAGUUUUAAAAUCAUUCAUGUUAGUGUUUCAUAUGUUAUUGAGUUUUGACAUUAGUGUAUCUUGUUUAUUUUGUUUAGUGUACAUUUAUAAAGUAUGAGGUUUUAUUCUUCUUAUUUUGUAAUAAUUUUGUUUUGCUUGGUAAACUAAACAUAAAGUGUAUAAUAUUAGAGGAUUUAGUUGAGGUUUAAUAGUUUUAUUAAAGAAGAAAAAUUAAAUUUUGUGAUUUAUAUCAUAUUUUUAAGUUUUGUUUAUGUAGGUUUUAGUAAAAAUAAAUAUGAUAGCAACUAUAAACCAAUUGGAAAAGUAACCACAAAAAUAUAUAUAUAUCUCUCGUAAUUAUAUUAACAAAGCAUAAUUAGAUGAAUUGAUUUGAGCCAUUUGGUUGUGAUAUUUAAAUUAGUAUCAUUUGUAACCCAAACAAUAGUGGACCUAAAAAACAAAUGAAAGCCCAUUGAAUAUUUUUUCCGGGAAGAAAACAGAAACCAUCUGCCUUCUAUGUGUUUUUUUUUUCCGUAGAAACUUUGGGAACUCCUACCGAUCUCUUCGUCGGUGCUAUCUGUUGUUCAAGCGAGAUCUACAGACACGCCUAUGAUUGUUUCACAAAAAGGAUUUCUGAAGAUAGAUCUACUCAUUACUACGGCAGAUCAUGGCAUACAUGUUUAAUCGUGUUCCUAUUCCUCGAACUUUGUUUGUUUCGAUUAUUUGUCCUAAUUUCUAUUAUGUGUAAUGAUUUUGUAAACACGAUCUAAGGUUUGGAAGACGAAGACCCUUCUCUCUGAUAGAUAGAGGCCGUAGCGUGUAUAAUCAAGUCUUCAAACCUCGUCGAAGUAAACGAUGAGUAAUUACUAACAGAAGGUCGUCUUUGUUCGUGUUUAUUCAAAGAAACAGAAGGACAUGGGAGAUAAGGAUUUAUAGAAAAGCCCAGGGAGAGUGAUGGUGUCGGAUAGAGAUGAUCAUCAAUUGUAAAAUGACAUAGCAAAGGGAAGGCACAAUGAUCAUUUAGUGGAAAGUAUCAAGUACCAGUAGUGAAGAUGAAAAAGAAGACAACAACCAAGACAUGACAACAGACUUACUACACGGUUAGUAAUCACUUCUCUAUUGUAACUAAUUACUAAUGUGAAAGAAAAGUAGGACUGUCUAGAAAACAUGUUUAGAUUAGAGAACCCCGGAAUGUCUUGGUUGUUAUUAUGCAGGAUAUAGUACUUGAUAAAUAUUAAAGGGAUCAUGCUUACGGUUAGAAAGGGCAGAAUAAUAGUUUCAGCCCUUUAAUAUAAGGGCUAGGAAUUUAUUUACCCAUUGGUCUGCUAAAACCAUCUCAAAGGUAUCUCUAAAAGGGGUAUUCUGCCUCCACGAAUGUAAGCACUUAACUUGACCUCGCCAGUUAUUCUUGAAAGGCCUGAGUUUUGUGAGAUGAUGGAAAGUUGUAAUUGCAGACAUUUUUGGAGGAUUUGCUUUGAAUGAUACGAUGUUGAAGCUAUAGAGGAAGAGACCAAAACUACUAAUCUGAUGCACUGAAGUAAGGGAGUAUGACAAUGAUAUACAACGGUAUGAAAUAGGUAAACAGCAAUUGUAUUUUUAUUGUUUUGUGAUGUAGAUGUUUAGUAAUGGUUUGUAAUAGAUGAUUUAGUAGUAAGAUAAAACGUCUGUGUUUAAUGUAAUGCAUAGAACGAUAUGUUAGGAAGUGGUAGGAUGUGGUUUAAUUUAAUGGUACGAUAAGUAAGGAAACAUGUUUCUCGGUUUAAUAAUAAACGUAUUUCUUGGUUUAGUAGAGGAUGAAACUCUAAGUUUAAUGUCAGUGGCAUUCUGUGGUAAU